GAGUUUGAUCCUGGCUCAGGACGAACGCUGGCGGCGUGCCUAAUACAUGCAAGUCGAGCGGAGUUGAUGAGGUGCUUGCACCUCUGAUGCUUAGCGGCGGACGGGUGAGUAACACGUAGGUAACCUGCCUGUAAGACUGGGAUAACUACCGGAAACGGUUAGCUAAUACCGGAUAAUUUAUUUCUCUCCUGGGGAGAUAAUGGAAAGACGGAGCAAUCUGUCACUUACAGAUGGGCCUGCGGCGCAUUAGCUAGUUGGUGAGGUAACGGCUCACCAAGGCGACGAUGCGUAGCCGACCUGAGAGGGUGAACGGCCACAC
rnacentral:rRNA from 1 species